UCUGGUUCUUCACUUUCCUGUUCCUCCUUGUCAAUACUGCCCAUUGAUAUUGCCAAGGAUAAGGAGAAGGCAGCCUAUAUAUUAGGCUGGUAAAUGACGGGAAGCAGAGCACGGACUGGUUCCCUUACACAAUGCUGGGCUAAAAUGACUUUUUAAGCGGUCUCUCCAAGGAGUAAGAGUGGCUGUGUUUUACUUGGAAUCACAGGAUUGGAAACUGCUUCAAGAGGCUCUCCUUCAGCCAUCCUCUUGUUUCGAGGCAGGGCUGUGCUGAAACCAUCUGACACAGAUGUUUCCCUGUCAUGGGUUUAAAGGAAGUCACUGGGUAUUCAGUCUACUACAAAGCAAAACGAGAUAUGUGUGAUAAGAGGCCCUGGGGCAGCAAGGGCUGCAGAAAUCCAACCAGGCCGGGCAGAUAUGCAAAGGCUCCUUUCACCACUUUCAAAGAGAGAGAAACAGGACCUCAUCCUCCAGGGUCCACAAGGGAACUUUUCACCAACUUGACAUCUCUCAAGAUGACCUCCCCACCCCCACCACCCCUGCCAGGUCUGCCCUUCGGUAGGACUAACAACCUCAGUGCCUCUUCCGCGCUUUUCCAUGCUUCGCGGUGCCUAUUUCCAUGCUUUUAUUAAUUUUUGCUGAGCUCCUCUGGACUUUAUCCAAGUGUCCUACUUAAACUGUGUGGCCCCAAAGUACAGACAAUGCCUUAACAAAGGCCGCGAGAGGUUAAACAGAAUACCAAGAUUCUCUUGUGGCCAAAGAAGGUUAUGCGCAGCCAAAUGAAAUGAAUAAACUUUCAACAGUUUAUCUAAGUGCCUUACGACUAGUGUAUUUACUAAAAUGCUUGUGCCCAGAGUGGGCCGGACAGUGUGUGGAGCUGGAGCUGGAAGGGGGACUGCUCUCCCUAUAACUUGGCCCAUAUGAACAGUGAUCAAAAGUUCAGUGGCCAACGCUUUGGCCAAAUUUCUGGGACCCAGAUGAACACUUUAGGCAAAUGAAAGCCUGUAUAGGCAGCCCCUGUAAAAGUUACAUUUACGUGAACUGAACUAGUGGUUUUAGGAAGGUUUGAAGUACAAAGUGGGGUGGGGGAAGGCAAGGGGACCAGAUGUGAACAUAACCGAAAACACCACUUCAGUUGGCACUUCAGAGCACCUUUGUUGGCAAACUUAGAGUGGAGCCAGAGAUUUAAUGGAUAAAAACACAAAGCCACCCUCUGAUGACUAAAG